AGAGGAUGGGUUUAGGGAAGCCUGCAAAGACUUAUAUGAACUGAGACAGAGUAAAGUGAGCAGAACCAAGAGAACAAUUUAUAAAAUGACAUGGCAUUGUAAAAACAAACAACUCAGAAAGACUUAGGAAGUGCUCAAUUCAAGGACAAACCACAAAUUUAAAGGCUUCAUGAUGAAACAAGAUCUGCAUUUCUAAAGAGGUAAGAAAAACUGAGGCUGAGAGGAGGUCUAUUCCAGGAAGAGAGAAUGGGCCACACAAAUAUCCAUUUGGGGGAUCAGUUACCAAUCCAGUUUAUUUGGAUCCUUGAUUCAAUGGAAGAAAAUAAUCUGAAACAAGGAUGGAUCAUAUAGAAACAUCAAUAUGAUUCUUGCUGAUGGAACUUUGUCACAAAUUUGAACAGUGGUGUUACAAAACAGACAGACAAGGGUGUGAAUCCAGAUGAGGUACCAAGCUGGAGCUCAAAGCUUUUUGAAUUUAUCCCCCAUCUCCCUCAUUUUACUUCCUUUUUCCCCCUCUGUAUACUUGACAUCAUUGUACAUAUAUUUUCUUAAGUGUAUUUGCUGUAUUUUGGGGAUGACAGAGUUUGGGUAUAAGUCAGAUUGGAUCUCCCUAGAUCUUAAAAAAUGGGGUAUUAUUAUAUUGAGGAAUUAGUAGAGAAAAGGCGAAGAGAAGAGAAAACAAAUAUUUCAUGAGUAAAUAGUACAGACUCAUCAAGUCAACCAGAUGUUCUUAGACCUUGUGUGUAUCUGGUGAAGCUUCUGAGUCCCUUAUCAGACCUAUGUUUUUAAAUGCACAAAAUAAUAUUCAUAUGAUUACAAAAGAGCUUACUCUGUUGAAAUAAUUAUCAGAAUAUUGUUUAAAGAUCAGAUUAAGAACUUCUAAUAAUAAAUAUUAGAACUCAUAUGGAUGCUGAGAAAUAUUUAUUCUAAACAAAUUGAAAAAGAACAUGAGGAACUAGCUUUGUUCUUUUUUUCCCCCUUCUAGCUCUAGAUAUGUUUCUUUUUCUUGUAUAUAUUAAG